GGCGCUGUAGCCAAAAGGCUAAGGCAGCGGUUUGCAAAACCGCCAUGUCCCGGUUCGAAUCCGGGCGGCGCCU
rnacentral:tRNA from 1 species